GACGAACGCUGGCGGCGUGCUUAACACAUACAAGUCGAACGGAAAGGCCCUGCUUUUGUGGGGUGCUCGAGUGGCGAACGGGUGAGUAACACGUGAGUAACCUGCCCUUGACUUUGGGAUAACUUCAGGAAACUGGGGCUAAUACCGGAUAGGAGCUCCUGCUGCAUGGUGGAGGUUGGAAAGUUUCGGCGGUUGGGGAUGGACUCGCGGCUUAUCAGCUUGUUGGUGGGGUAGUGGCUUACCAAGGCUUUGACGGGUAGCCGGCCUGAGAGGGUGACCGGCCACAUUGGGACUGAGAUACGGCCCAGACUCCUACGGGAGGCAGCAGUGGGGAAUAUUGCACAAUGGGCGGAAGCCUGAUGCAGCAACGCCGCGUGCGGGAUGACGGCCUUCGGGUUGUAAACCGCUUUCGCCUGUGACGAAGCGUGAGUGACGGUAAUGGGUAAAGAAGCACCGGCUAACUACGUG
rnacentral:rRNA from 1 species